rnacentral:rRNA from 1 species
UACAAUGGAGAGUUUGAUCCUGGCUCAGGAUGAACGCUAGCGGCAGGCUUAAUACAUGCAAGUCGAGGGGCAGCACAGGGUAGCAAUACCUGGGUGGCGACCGGCAAACGGGUGCGGAACACGUACAGAACCUUCCUUCGAGCGGGGAAUAGCCCAGAGAAAUUUGGAUUAAUACCCCAUAGUAUAAUGGUGUGGCAUCACAUUAUUAUUAAAGAUUUAUCACUUGAAGAUGGCUGUGCGUAUGAUUAGGUAGUUGGCGGGGUAACGGCCCACCAAGCCUACGAUCAUUAACUGGUGUGAGAGCACGACCAGUCACACGGGCACUGAGACACGGGCCCGACUCCUACGGGAGGCAGCAGUAAGGAAUAUUGGUCAAUGGACGCAAGUCUGAACCAGCCAUGCCGCGUGGAGGAUGAAGGUCCUCUGGAUUGUAAACUUCUUUUAUCUGGGACGAAAAAAGGCUUUUCUAAGUCGACUGACGGUACCAGAUGAAUAAGCACCGGCUAACUCCGUGCCAGCAGCCGCGGUAA